rnacentral:rRNA from 1 species
CACUGAGUGCAAAAGCUAUUUGUUUGCCACUUAAGCUUAUAUAUUUUCUUUAGCUAUCGUCCUUUGACAUUUUCUUUAUGCAAUGGUUGGUUGAUCAAGCCGAGGACUUCCCUGCGGUGCUUGGUUGGACCAUGUUUCAUUCAGCUAAUAAAAUAGUAUAUAUGUGUGUGUGAUUGCUUCAUCAAUUUUCAGAAACAUUUGUUGCCCAGUAGCUUCCAAAUAGCAGUUUAGCUUUCUUUGUUGCACCUAUAUACUUGCACCUUACAACAACCAUCAUGUUCGCAAAUCGUCUCUAUGAAUGUCCUUUCUUUACUCAUUUAGGACUUAUGAGUUGAUUAAUAUGUCACUCUCAAUAAAGUGUUUUCUUUAAAUGAGGAAUGACAUAUAUAAUUGGUUCUAUUAUAGUAGCUAGCAUUCAUCUUUUCCAAAUAAAUUGUACUGCCUUUUGCUUUAUCUCUUGGUAUAUUUUUCAUUGCUAACAAUUGAUCUGUAGAGAUGCUAUUCUGUCAAGAUUUUCUGCUAUCAAAUAAUUCAUGGCCAGCUACAAUGUUUACCCUUUUAUGUAACUAUUGAGACCCUCUCAGCUGUGCGAUAUAAUCUCAGCUCUCAGGCGCUAGAUUAUGUAUGUACUUGCCUCUCGUUAUGGCACUCACAAUGCUUCAUGUUUGUUUACCUUUCUCAUUUCUGUGCUGUCCUGUAAUAAAACAAGAUAUUUACUCAAAUCCUUGCAGGAAUAACUAAGCCUUUCAAGGAUGUUGCUUGAAGAUGGAGGGAUCUUUCCCUACAAGUUUGUUCUUUUUGUUGUUACAGCAAAGACUACUUCCUGGGUUGUCGAGGAUGCUAGGUCAAGAAUGCAGGGUGGGCGAAAGAAAAUUGUGAAUGCUUUUAUCUCCGUGGUCAUUUGGAGCAUAUGGAGGGACAAGAUAGCGGGCUUUAAUAGUGUCUUCGCGCUGCUCCAGAGAGUCAUCGAUCCUGAUACUAGGCAGUAGGCUGGUGUGAGCUUGGGUCAUUUGAUCAUCCCCGAUUGUGUAAAGACUCCUCUGGAAUAUAUGCAAUCCUAUUGCAUGGUUUAAAAAAG